CCCGCUGAACUUAAGCAUAUCAAUAAGCGGAGGA
rnacentral:rRNA from 1 species